GGAAAGCGCCCCCUCUCUCCUCUUGGAUUCUCCCUCCUCUCCAUGGCCGCCAAGAGGAAGCUCCGCAGGUCACCGCCGCCGCCGGCGAAUGCGAAGGCAUAGGCGAAGGAAGAAGACACGGUGGGGCUCUUCUCUGCGCGCUCCUUCGCCCGCCUCCAAGGAGGCUCGUCAUCUGAUCUGAGCAAGUAGCAAAAGCUUUUGGUUAUUAAGCAGCAGCAGCAGCAGGAUCAGAUCAGAAGCUUGGAGAAGGAGGGAGAGGAAGGGGUGUUGUUAUUUAACUGAGUACUGAGCUGUGGUGUCGAUGUAAACAAAGUGUUUUGUUCCCCAAACACAGCCAUGGUGAUUGUGACAGAGAAUGGUCCAGAUUACAGCCGUUAUCCUGUCGAUUAGCCCUAGGCCCGGCUGCGCAUCAAGGUUUUAGUCAUUAUCAAGGUUCCUAAUUGAGCAAUACAGUUGUACCAAUGUUUUAAGGAGUGUAAACACCUCUGAAUUUUGUUUACAACAUCGACAGUAGUGUAUAGAUUGCAUCUGGAUGUGCAUUUUCAUGA